rnacentral:rRNA from 1 species
UGAUCAGGACGGGGCGAGCCUGAGCAGCCUGCCGCGUGUGUGAAGAAGGCCUUUUGGUUGUAAAGCACUUUAAGCGAGGAGGAAGCUCUCCUAGUUAAUACCUAGGAAGAGUGACCGUUACUCGAAAAAUAAGCACCGGCUAACUCUGUGCCAGCAGCCGCGGUAAUA